GAUCUCCUGACCUCGUGACCUGCCCAGCUCGGCCUCCCAAAGUGCUGGGAUUACAGGCAUGAGCCAUUGCGCCUAACCUCAGAAACCAUUUUUAUAACCUCAAUACCUAAUAGAAACUGGCACAUGGACUGUGUGCGAAAUGUUCAAACUUGCUCACUGGGUUAAAAAGGAUGGACAGCUUAGAGAAAAAGAAGAAAAAAAGGAAACUCGGCUGUGCGCAGUGACUCAUGCCUAUAAUGCCAGCACUUUGGGAGGCCAAGGCAACUUUGCAAAUUAAAUGGUUCACAUAUGAAGGAGCACAGCUGUAGAAGGAAAAUAAGGAAGAGAAAAUAACUUCGGAAAAUUCCCAGGACUCAUACUCUAAAGGUCAUGGUUCCAGUACCAGCUUGGCUACCCCUGUGAGCUGUGACUGCAAGAGUCAGCACCUAAAUUAGAUCAACACUACAACAUCAAAAAGCCAGCUUGAUGGCACAGCGGGGAGUGAGGAAGACUCGGUGGACAAAUCUGACUGGAAAACAAGUAGGCGUUGCAGAUGAAGACCUGGAACCAUGGUAGGAAGUGGGACAGGGAGCAUUUGGACAAGCUGUUCAAGAACUGAUCAUGCUCAUGUGUAUGGGAAAACAGAUGGAGGAAGAGAAAUUCCUGAAGAGCACAAGACUGGUGGGGCAAGGAACAAGCCUACUGAGAUGAGUUGCAGAUUUGAAGAUGGGAGAAAUGGUUUCGUUGUCUACCAUGUAAAAACUCAUUUAUGCAAGAUGCUUGAUAUCUGAAUUUCAAUUUCUUCAUUAUCAAAAUGAAUAUUAAAAAUACUCUACUUCUUAGAGUUGUCAAAAAGAUACGGAGAUGUGAAUAAUUUGAAAUUAUUAUCUAUAUGUAAAGUAUUACUAUAUUUACUAUCCUUAUCAAAUAUUUAUCCUACUGUCUAACACAUUAAAUGGACAAAAUAGAACAUUUGAAGGGUGUAGAUCUUGAAAGUUUAAUUUUACAUAAAAAAGGCCAGAAACCUUUCCUAAGAAAAAUGUACAUAUUGCAAAAUGUAGC
rnacentral:lncRNA from 1 species